GUAGGACAGACCCUACAUCUGAGUCUGAGCCCUUAGAUGGACUGGUGGACUGUGGAUGGUGUAACCUGCUGAUAUAUUUAAGACCGUAGCUGUUGUUGGAGAAGUUGGACUGAGACCCUCCACUCCCACUAUGACUGUUUGUGGUGCUUAGAGACAGACCCUGGCCCCCCUAAAGAAGACACGCCCAUUCCAGUGCUCGUACCCUUGGCUCUCUGAUGAUGGUGAUGUCUGAGUAGUGAAGGAGCCACCAGCAGGAGUCGUCGAGUUUAGUCUGGAGGCGAAGCUUCUGUAGAGCCAGAAGUCCAAUGCACAGAAAUGCCAGCACUCCA